AUGUGUAAUGCACAUGCCCGUGUGAUGGAGUACAAAUACAGGCGAACUCGACAACAUGACCAUGGCUCCACGAUUUGUGGUGUGGACAGUGACAACCACUCAAACAAGCUGCGGCAUGGAAGGGGGCAUGUUACCGAUCUACAGAUCAAGGAGGAAAGUGCUGCGGGGGUUGCUCCGGCGAACUGCUUGAGUUACAGGGGAGCUGAAGCAGAGACGGGCGCUGGAGCAGCACCAAGACAUUCAACCGCCAUGACUAUAGGUCAUCGCCGCCCUCCCUUCCGCAACCGAGCUGCAUCGGAGUGCCACCUGAACAGCUCUGCCCUCCACAAAAAAUAG
rnacentral:rRNA from 1 species